UUCCGGUUACUAGUCCAACGCUCUAACCACUAGGCUACCCUGCCGCCCGGGGAAUCGCCUGGGGAUUCGAUCCAGCAACCUUUUCAGCUACAGCCUCAACCCUCUAACCACUACGCUACCUGCCGCCCCAUUAUUAUUUCAACCAGCUUAUAACCAUAUAAACCGUUUGUAAUGUUAUUUCAGUGUGGAUGCGAAAGAAACGCAUACCUGUUAAGGCGAGGUGCUGGCUAGCAGAGUAGAACACCUGUUAAGGCGAGGUGCUGGCUAGCAGAGUAGAACACCUGUUAAGGCGAGGUGCUGGCUAGCAGAGUAGAACACCUGUUAAGGCGAGGUGCUGGCUAGCAGAGUAGAACACCUGUUAAGGCGAGGUGCUGGCUAGCAGAGUAGAACACCUGUUAAGGCGAGGUGCUGGCUAGCAGAGUAGAACACCUGUUAAGGCGAGGUGCUGGCUAGCAGAGUAGAACACCUGUUUAGGAGAGGUGCUGGCUAGCAGAGUAGAACACCUGUUAAGGCGAGGUGCUGGCUAGCAGAGUAGAACACCUGUUAAGGAGAGGUGCUGGCUAGCAGAGUAGAACACCUGUUUAGGAGAGGUGCUGGCUAGCAGAGUAGAACACCUGUUAAGGCGAGGUGCUGGCUAGCAGAGUAGAACACCUGUUAAGGCGAGGUGCUGGCUAGCAGAGUAGAACACCUGUUAAGGCGAGGUGCUGGCUGGCAGAGUAGAACACCUGUUAAGGCGAGGUGCUGGCUAGCAGAGUAGAACACCUGUUAAGGCGAGGUGCUGGCUAGCAGAGUAGAACACCUGUUAAGGGGAGGUGCUGGCUAGCAGAGUAGAACACCUGUUAAGGGGAGGUGCUGGCUAGCAGAGUAGAACACCUGUUAAGGCGAGGUGCUGGCUAGCAGAGUAGAACACCUGUUAAGGAGAGGUGCUGGCUAGCAGAGUAGAACACCUGUUAAGGCGAGGUGCUGGCUAGCAGAGUAGAACACCUGUUAAGGCGAGGUGCUGGCUAGCAGAGUAGAACACCUGUUAAGGCGAGGUGCUGGCUAGCAGAGUAGAACACCUGUUAAGGAGAGGUGCUGGCUAGCAGAGUAGAACACCUGUUAAGGGGAGGUGCUGGCUAGCAGAGUAGAACACCUGUUAAGGCGAGGUGCUGGCUAGCAGAGUAGAACACCUGUUAAGGCGAGGUGCUGGCUAGCAGAGUAGAACACCUGUUAAGGCGAGGUGCUGGCUAGCAGAGUAGAACACCUGUUAAGGCGAGGUGCUGGCUAGCAGAGUAGAACACCUGUUAAGGCGAGGUGCUGGCUAGCAGAGUAGAACACCUGUUAAGGCGAGGUGCUGGCUAGCAGAGUAGAACACCUGUUAAGGAGAGGUGCUGGCUAGCAGAGUAGAACACCUGUUAAGGCGAGGUGCUGGCUAGCAGAGUAGAACACCUGUUAAGGCGAGGUGCUGGCUAGCAGAGUAGAACACCUGUUAAGGCGAGGUGCUGGCUAGCAGAGUAGAACACCUGUUAAGGGGAGGUGCUGGCUAGCAGAGUAGAACACCUGUUAAGGGGAGGUGCUGGCUAGCAGAGUAGAACACCUGUUAAGGCGAGGUGCUGGCUAGCAGAGUAGAACACCUGUUAAGGCGAGGUGCUGGCUAGCAGAGUAGAACACCUGUUAAGGCGAGGUGCUGGCUAGCAGAGUAGAACACCUGUUUAGGAGAGGUGCUGGCUAGCAGAGUAGAACACCUGUUAAGGAGAGGUGCUGGCUAGCAGAGUAGAACACCUGUUAAGGCGAGGUGCUGGCUAGCAGAGUAGAACACCUGUUAAGGCGAGGUGCUGGCUAGCAGAGUAGAACACCUGUUAAGGCGAGGUGCUGGCUGGCAGAGUAGAACACCUGUUAAGGCGAGGUGCUGGCUAGCAGAGUAGAACACCUGUUAAGGCGAGGUGCUGGCUAGCAGAGUAGAACACCUGUUAAGGCGAGGUGCUGGCUAGCAGAGUAGAACACCUGUUAAGGGGAGGUGCUGGCUAGCAGAGUAGAACACCUGUUAAGGGGAGGUGCUGGCUAGCAGAGUAGAACACCUGUUAAGGCGAGGUGCUGGCUAGCAGAGUAGAACACCUGUUAAGGGGAGGUGCU